rnacentral:rRNA from 1 species
UACGUAGGUGGCGAGCGUUAUCCGGAUUUAUUGGGCGUAAAGCGUCCGCAGCCGGUUUAUUAAGUCCAGAAUUAAAGCCCGAAGCUCAACUUCGGUUCGUUUUGGAAACUGGUAGACUCGAGUGUGGUAGAGGCAAGUGGAACUUCUAGUGUAGCGGUAAAAUGCGUAGAUAUUAGAAAGAACACCAGUGGCGAAGGCGACUUGCUAGGCCAUUACUGACGGUCAGGGACGAAAGCGUGGGGAGCAAAUAGGAUUAGAUACCCCCGUAGUCCCUGAGCGGGCUGGCAAGG